UAGUGUUAACCAUUAACAUAGUAUCUUUAGGAUGGAUUCCUGGAAGAAGCUAACCAUGCUAAGGUUAACAAACAAUAAAUUAAACAGUCAAAGGUUACCGUUCUUUUUGCAUCUGGAUCUUUCUUGGAUUUAAAAACCUUUUGAAAGUUGAAAUAGAUUGUAAGAAUCGAAAUAUUUUGUUGGAUUUUCUUUGAUGACUUGAGUAUUAAUAACUAGUAAGAGUGCAAGACUUUUGAACAUCAAAACAUUUGAUGCAACAUUAAAUUUUAUCCUUUUGGCAAUUCUUUCUUGAUCUUCAGAUACUGAGGGAGAUAAUUUGCGCGACGACAUACCUGAAAAGUUUGAGAAUAGGGAAGCAUUGAUUUCUGCUGUGCCAAGCUUUGAGGAGCCUUACAUCAAAGUUCCCAAAGUGUUGAAUAAGGAGUGACAUUAUUUAGGUAAUUUUCGUUUCACUUCUAGGGGAAGACCAUAAUUUUAUAUAUUUUGAUCAGUAGAUGGAAGACCAGAAAUCAUCCCUCCAAAGUCUUUUUCAAGAUGUAUCUUGAUGCAACGUGUAAAACGGAUAUGCUCCUGCUUCCUAUUAGUUAUCUCUAGUCAUUUUUUCUAUUACU